rnacentral:rRNA from 1 species
GGCUCAGAUUGAACGCUGGCGGCAUGCUUUACACAUGCAAGUCGAACGGCAGCGCGGGGCAACCUGGCGGCGAGUGGCGAACGGGUGAGUAAUAUAUCGGAACGUACCCAAGAGUGGGGGAUAACGUAGCGAAAGUUACGCUAAUACCGCAUACGAUCCACGGAUGAAAGCAGGGGACCGCAAGGCCUUGUGCUCCUGGAGCGGCCGAUAUCUGAUUAGCUAGUUGGUGAGGUAAAGGCUCACCAAGGCGACGAUCAGUAGCUGGUCUGAGAGGACGACCAGCCACACUGGAACUGAGACACG